rnacentral:lncRNA from 1 species
UGCUUGAAUUAUCCUACCAAAAUUGUUACACAGAGAAUACUUCAAUGCACGGACAAUGAAUGAAUCAUCUUUGACUACUUGAAGGGUCACAUCUAUCAUUCAAGUAGACUAACCAACCCUUGGUCCAGAUUUUGUUAUGAAAACUGGAUGUGUUAUGAAAGCAGGGUGGACAUCAUUUGUUGCAAACAAAAUGUGCCAGAAGCCAAGGGAAGGGUACUUUUGAUGUCUUAGUUAAGAGCUGGAUAAGUCACAGCUUUCAGUACAUUUAAUAUGGAACAUUCAAUACUUUUCUUCCAAAAGUGGGACUUAAUUUGCUACUAAAAGAAGACCUAACACAUUUCUAAAAGCUAAAAAUUUAUCUUUAGGAAGAGGUUUUGUGAAGAUGUCUGGAGCUAUCUGCUUCGUGGAACAAUAUUCCAAAUCAAUUUAUCCUUUCUUUAUACAU